rnacentral:rRNA from 1 species
AUACGUAGGGGGCGAGCGUUGUCCGGAAUGAUUGGGCGUAAAGGGCGCGUAGGCGGCCUGGUAAGUCUGGAGUGAAAGCCCUGGGUUUAAGAUGGGAGUUGCAUUGGAUACUGUCGGGCUUGAGUGCAGGAGAGGGAAGUGGAAUUCCCAGUGUAGCGGUGAAAUGCGUAGAGAUUUGGAGGACUACCAGUGGCGAAGGCGACUUACUUGACUGUAACUGACGCUGAGGCGCGAAAGUGUGGGGAGCAAGCAGGAUGAGAUACCCUAGUAGUCCACACAGGCAAUGAUGGAUGCGAGGUGUAUGGGGUGGCGCCCCCUUCUGUGCCGCAGUCAACACAAUAAGCAUUCCGCCUGGGGAGUACGGCCGCAAGGUUGAAACUCAAAGGAAUUGACGGGG